UAUGGGGAAUGAGGAAUGGAGGAUCCCAGAGCGGAGGGGUUGUGGGGAAUGGAGAAUGAGGGGUCCCCGAGCGGAGAGGCGUGUGGGGAGUGGAGAAUGGGAGAUCCUGGAAGGGUUUGAACAGCAACUGGAAUUGUGGGCAGCCAGAAGUAAAACUCACAAGAUCAGUUAGGUUGGAAAAAGACCUCUGAGAUCAUCGAGUCCCACCUAUGAGGAGCACCACCUGUUCAAAUAGACCAUGGCAUCAGUGCCACAUCCACUUUCUUCUUAAAGAGCUCCAGGGACGGUAACCCCCCCAGCUUCCCUGGGCAGCCCGUUUCCAUAUCUAAUCGCCCUCUCAGUGAAGAAAUUCCUCCUAACAUCCAAAAUAAACCUCGCCUUGCACAGCUUAGGGCUGUGUCCUCGUGUCCUGUCCCUGGUUGCCUGGGAGAAGAGGCUGACCCCAGCUGGCUGCAGCCUGUGUUCAGACAGGAGGGAAUGCCCAGGUUUCAGCCCCCGCCACGGCAGGUGCUCGGUGCGGGUCGGUGGAUGCUGGGGCUGGGGCUGAGGCCCGGGCACCCCACAGGUGCUUGUGGGAAGCUCAGUCUAAUACCAGCGACAGAGAAAUGAGUGAAGCGAUUUGUAUUGUAGAAAAUUGGACACGGGAUGGGGUCAGUGGGAAAAAAACAAGUAGAUAUGAAGUUUUUUACCUCCAGAGUGAGAAAUUGUGAAGAAUGUCAUCCAGCAAUGUGACAUUGCAGGUACACAGGGGUUGGGGAUGAUGACAUGGAAGGAUUGCCUCUGGACUAGUGGUUACUCUUUGUUUGUGCCUGCUGCCUCUUGGCCUGUCCUUGGGCACCACUUAGAAGAAUCUGGCUUCCUCUUCUUUAAUCCACCAUAUCAGAGGCUGUUCAGCUGCACAGGUGUGAGAAAAGAAUAAGACAACUGAUGUCACAGCAAGGACUGUGGCACUAUUUACAGACAAGGGCUCUGCUGCUUGUAGAAUGAAAGAAGCUCAAAUGGGAGCAGGUCCCAGCCCCCUCCAAAAAUUUGUCGAAAUGCACUUUUUUUAAAUUGUACUGGCUAUUGCUGAUUGCCUUAAAAGCACGGACGAAAUCAUAUUGGUUCUACCACUGUGAAAUAGGUGAAAUACUACAGUGUAAAGUGGGCUUACACUGCCUGAGGUAAGAUCUGUGACCUCCUACUUGAGAGAAAGGAGUGAGCCACCUUUGAGGAAUCUACAGUCUUUCAACAGAAAUGGGGAAGACUGCUGACAGUUUCUGUUUUUCUUUCUUAAGAAGAAAACAUAUUGAUAAUAAAUGGACUGUGAGACUUGCUGGACAUGGGGUUCCCUUACCUGGGAGUUGGAAGAGCAGAUGUUGAUGACUGGCACAGCUGUGCUAAAGUCAACAGAGAUGUGUCAUUUUAAUCAGCAGAUUAUUGGGCCCCUGGAUGUAGAUCUCAUAAACACUUUGUUUAUAAAGAGGCUUAUGGAUGGGAAAUGAGAAAUACUUAUUGCUGAUAAUUUCUGGGAAACAUUCUAGAGAGGAAUCUGAGGGGGAGGGGAAGGAGUGGCAGUGCUGUGGCUGGGCUCAAUGCCAGACUAAGCAAGUGUUAAAGGUCAAGUUGUAGUAACAGCAGUAAGUUGCAGACAUAAUGUAAUUAUGAGAGCUGGUAAGGUGUGGUGUUGGAGCAGGGCGUGGCCAGACUUGCAUUACCAUUUACACCUCACCAGGU